rnacentral:lncRNA from 1 species
CGAGGAACGACACGGGCAGCCCAGGUGGAAACUGCAGGCACAAGCCGGGACGCCGCGGGUUUAAAACGUGCGCGCAAGAGGAAGACACUUAAACAUAAAGAUGAAGUGCCUAAUUCAAGGUCACACAAUGUCGGGGAUGGACCUCCAGAUUUCCUUACUGACCUGCAUUAUCUGUGGAUACCUGAGUGAAUUACACAGCACCCAUUUUAUAGAUGAAGCCACUGAGACAUGGAGCAACUGACUGAGUAGUCACUGCCCCACCCCUGGAGCCUCACACAUGACUCGUCUCCUCUCAGUGACCACAGGUUGGUUGAGG